AUAAUAUAUGUUUAUAGUUGUUGC
rnacentral:siRNA from 1 species